rnacentral:rRNA from 1 species
GAUGAACGCUAGCGAUAGGCCUAACACAUGCAAGUCGAGGGGCAGCAUAGAGUAGCAAUACUUUGAUGGCGACCGGCGCACGGGUGAGUAACACGUAUGCAACCUACCUACAUCAGGGGAAUAACCCGGAGAAAUUCGGACUAAUACCGCAUAAUACAGGGAUGCCGCAUGGCAAUAUUUGUUAAAGAUUUAUCGGAUGUAGAUGGGCAUGCGUUCCAUUAGCUAGUUGGUGAGGUAACGGCUCACCAAGGCAACGAUGGAUAGGGGAACUGAGAGGUUUGUCCCCCACACUGGAACUGAGACACGGACCAGACUCCUACGGGAGGCAGCAGUGAGGAAUAUUGGUCAAUGGACGAGAGUCUGAACCAGCCAAAUCGCGUGAAGGAAGACUGCCCUACGGGUUGUAAACUUCUUUUGUACAGGAAUAAAAGACAUUACGUGUAAUGUAUUGCAUGUACUGUACGAAUAAGCAUCGGCUAACUCCGUGCCAGCAGCCGCCGUAA